AUGCAGUCGAGCGAGAUCCAUCCGGUAGCAAUACUGGUGAAGAUCGAGCGGCGAACGGGUGAGUAACACGUGAGAAACCUGCCCCGAAGACUGGGAUAACCCGAGGAAACUCGGGCUAAUACCGGAUACCCCCACCAGGUCACAUGUCCAGGUGAGGAAAUGCUCCGGCGCUUUGGGAGGGUCUCGCGGCCUAUCAGCUAGUUGGUGAGGUAACGGCUCACCAAGGCAUCGACGGGUAGCUGGUCUGAGAGGACGAUCAGCCACACUGGGACUGAGACACGGCCCAGACUCCUACGGGAGGCAGCAGUGGGGAAUCUUGCGCAAUGGGCGAAAGCCUGACGCAGCAACGCCGCGUGGGGGAUGAAGGCUUUCGGGUCGUAAACCCCUUUCAGGAGGGACGAAAAUGACGGUACCUCCAGAAGAAGCCCCGGCCAACUACGUGCCAGCAGCCGCGGUAACACGUAGGGGGCAAGCGUUGUCCGGAUUUAUUGGGCGUAAAGAGCUCGUAGGCCGCUUGGUAAGUCGGGUGUGAAAUUUCGAGGCUCAACCUCGAAACGCCAUCCGAUACUGCUAUGGCUAGAGUCCGGUAGAGGAGCGUGGAAUUCCUGGUGUAGCGGUG
rnacentral:rRNA from 1 species